GACGAACCGUGCAAACGUUGUUCGGAUUCACUGGGCUUAAAGGGCGCGUAGGCGGUCGAUCACGUCCGGGGUGAAAUCUUUCGGCUCAACCGGAAAAUAGCCUGGGAUACGGGUCGGCUGGAGGGAGGUAGGGGCAGGUGGAACUUCCGGUGGAGCGGUGAAAUGCGUAGAUAUCGGAAGGAACGCCGGUGGCGAAAGCGACCUGCUGGACCUCUUCUGACGCUGAGGCGCGAAAGCUAGGGGAGCGAACGGG
rnacentral:rRNA from 1 species